AACGAACGCUGGCGGCGUGCCUAAUACAUGCAAGUCGAACGAGAAAGUGGCUUCGGCCAUGAGUAAAGUGGCAAACGGGUGAGUAAUACGUAGGUAACCAUCCCCUAAGAUCGGGACAACCUUCCGAAAGGAGGGCUAAUACCGGAUAAGACCACGGCUACCUCGGUAGCUGAGGUAAAACAAAGUCUCUACUUGUAAGCUUUUGCUUGGGGACGGGCUUAUGCACCAUUAGCUAGUUGGUAGGGCAAUGGCCUACCAAGGCUUUGAUGGUUAGCUGAUCUGAGAAGUUGAUCAGCCACACGGGAACUGAGACACGGUCCAGACUCCUACGGGAGGCAGCAGUAGGGAAUAUUGCGCAAUGGAGGAAACUCUGACGCAGCGACGCCGCGUGGGUGACGAAGGCCUUCGGGUCGUAAAGCCCUGUCGGAAGGGAAGAAAAACACUGGCUAACAUCUCAGUGCUUGACGGUACCUUUAAAGGAAGCACCGGCUAACUACGUGCCAGCCGCCGCUGUAA
rnacentral:rRNA from 1 species